rnacentral:lncRNA from 1 species
CUAAAAGACAAAUUAAGUUCUGCACCCUUGUUAUCUUUGCCAAAUUUUACUAAACCUUUUGAGAUUGAGUGUGAUGCAAGUGGCAUAGGUAUUGGGGAGUUAAUUGAUGAAACCUACAAUUCCCAUCAUAAGUGGUAUCAGAGCAUUGGCUCGAGAUUGAGGUUGCGUAUCCAAUACUAUCUUUUAAUUCUCAAUAUCUUGUGUUCAU